AGAGUUUGAUCCUGGCUCAGGACGAACGCUGACGGUGUGCUUUAGGCAUGCAAGUCGAACGAGAAAGCCCUUCGGGGUGAGUAAAGUGGCGAACGGGUGAGUAACACGUGGGCAACCUGCCCCUCGCAGGGGGACAACCGGAGGAAACUCCGGCUAAUACCCCGUACGCUUGCUGGAUCGCAUGGUCCGGCAAGGAAAGGUAGCUUCGGCCAUCCGGCGAGGGAUGGGCCCGCGUUGCAUUAGCUAGUUGGUGGGGUAACGGCCUACCAAGGCGACGAUGCGUAGCUGGUCUGAGAGGAUGAUCAGCCACACUGGGACUGAGACACGGCCCAGACUCCUACGGGAGGCAGCAGCCAGGAAUCUUGGGCAAUGGGCGAAAGCCUGACCCAGCAACACCGUGUGGGCGAUGAAGGCCUUAGGGUCGUAAAGCCCUGUUGAUAGGGACGAAGGGCGAAGGGUUAAUAGCCCCUAGCUUGACGGUACCUUUCGAGGAAGCCCCGGCUAACUACGUGCCAGCAGCCGCGGUAAUACGUAGGGGGCGAGCGUUGUCCGGAAUUAUUGGGCGUAAAGAGCGUGUAGGCGGUUCGGUAAGUCUGCUGUGAAAUCCUGGGGCUCAACCCUGGGCGUGCAGCGGAUACUGCCGGGCUAGAGGGUGGUAGAGGCGAGUGGAAUUCCGAGUGUAGCGGUGAAAUGCGCAGAUAUUCGGAGGAACACCAGUAGCGAAGGCGGCUCGCUGGGCCACACCUGACGCUGAGACGCGAAAGCGUGGGGAGCGAACAGGAUUAGAUACCCCGGUAGUCC
rnacentral:rRNA from 1 species